CGCUGCCGUUGUCACAUCCUUGCGCGGACUCGCGCACGCCGUGGCUACAAAUGUGGUUGCCCCUGUUUUCAUUGUGGGCCACUUAAGCACUUAGAUAGGGAACCCUCGCCAGCAACUGCAGAGACCGUGUCAUACUCCGCCAUUGAGAGACGACGCAGCCGCCUCGUAGCUACUCGCCCCCACCGUCGUCGAGUGCCUGAUUGGAGCCACAGAAUCUCGCCUGAACGCAGGGGGAAGUCACUCAGACCCGUUUCUCGGACAAUCGUGCCCUUGGGCGUGUGGAAUUCCUCGCCGUAGUUGAAGCUUGCCGCAGAGCCGCGCCGUUGCGCGGAUAGUGUCACUCGUGCUCCAUACCAAGUGUUGGGGGCCUUCUUCUUCGUCGAAGGUCCUCCAAGCAAAAACACCUUCGACAAGACGAUACACAAGCAGAUACGACAUGAAGAUAUAUGCCGAAGCUACAAUUGAAAGAGCUUCUGCAUGAUGACAUGCUUAAGACGAAGGAUGGCACCGACUUAAAGAGGAAAAGACCACAUAGUCCCUGAUAAUUUGUAUUAUGGUUAUGAUUAGUUAUCAAGGACACGAAUGUAAUUUUUUUCGGGCUGUGUCUGGUGCCUAUAAAUAGAUGAACAGUAACCCCGUACUGUUCACGCUGACUUGUAAUCACUCACGCGUCACUCCUGGAUCUUUACCUUCUAUCAAGCGAAGGUACAAAUGUAAUUUAAAUAUCAUUGAUGUUUGUUCACGAUUAUAUAAUGAUAAUGUGAAUAGUCUAAUGAUUUAAAAUGAUUAUUCA